CUUUAGGCUUCACUAGAAGCCACCAAUCUUUUUAAUGGCCUAGGUU
rfam:Cyclospora cayetanensis strain CHN_HEN01 contig_333, whole genome shotgun sequence.